UUUUUAUUAUCGAUGUCAUACGUAUGUUCAUUAUUCUUGGCAUUCUCGACAUCACUUUCAGAUAAAAGAUCUGGCGAUCCGUUUAUGGCUUCAACAACUUCCUCAACUUUACCAUCAUGCAACAUUUGAUUGAACGCUUCGUCCAAAUCCACUUGAACCUUUUGGGCUGGUUCCAUACCUAGUUCGAUAAAAUCACCUGAAUUUGUCGUAUAAGGGUGAUUGACCACAGGACUCACUCCGGCCAUUAAAAAUUAAAUCUAAUGCUACAAAUUUCGAAACUAAUUAAGAAGUACUUACAAAAUUACCUGAAUUUAAAAAAAUUGUGCUACGUAGGAGAUGUUGGCUAAGGUUAAGUUUGCAGCUAA